rnacentral:rRNA from 1 species
GCUUGCUUUCUUUGCUGACGAACGACGGACAGUUGAGUAAUGCCUGGGAAAUCGCCCUGAAGCGGGGGAUAACCCUUGAAAACGCUAGCUAAUACCGCAUUAUCCCUACGAGAUCGAAGAGGCGGACCAUCGGGCCUCUCGCGACAGGAUAUGCCCAGGUGGGAUUAGCUAGUUGGUGAGGUAAUGGCUCAACAAGGCAACUAUCCCUAGAUGGUCUGACAGGACCAUCAGCCACAGUGGAACUGAGACACUUUCCACACUCCUACGGGAGGCAACAGUGGGGAAUAUUGCGCAAUGGGCAGCGAGCCUGAUGCAGCCAUGCCGCUUGUAUGAAGAAGGCCUUCGGGUUGUAAAGUACUUUCAGUGGUGAGGAAGGGAGUGUGGUUAUAGCCAUAUUAUUGACGUUACCACAGAAGAACACCGGCUAACUCCGGCCAG